UACGUAGGGUGCAAGCGUUGUCCGGAAUUAUUGGGCGUAAAGAGCUCGUAGGCGGUGUGUCGCGUCGGCCGUGAAAACCUGCAGCUUAACUGUGGGCGUGCGGUCGAUACGGGCAUCACUGGAGUUCGGCAGGGGAGACUGGAAUUCCUGGUGUAGCGGUGAAAUGCGUAGAUAUCAAGUGGAACACCAGUGGCGAAGGCGAGUCCCUGGACACUUCCUGACACUGGAGGCACGAAA
rnacentral:rRNA from 1 species